rnacentral:pre_miRNA from 15 species
UAAAUGGACUCAAUUUUAAGGAUCUCCUCUGCUUUAACAUGGAAGUGCUUGCUGUGAUUUUAAAAAAUUAAGUGCUUCCAUGUUUGAGUUGUGGUGAUUCCUAAAGGCAUAUAAAAGAUUU